UCGCCAGCACUACGGCGGCUCCCGGCCGCUCGUCGCUUCGCGAAUGCGUCCAAAAAACGGAACCGGCGCUUGCUUUUGAUUUUAAUGAAGUACUCCCCCGCCUCCUUCGCAGGAGAACAGAGCUUUUCGGCUUUCCUCUGAUGUCUGGUUGCAAGCAACGCAGAACCCGCAAUCGGCGACUUUUAUUAAUAGCAGAUGCUCCGCCACUCAAAUAGCACACCUCCACUGUUUACUGUUUCCAAGGCAUUGGCCUUCAUCCCUAGUACUUGGUGACCCAGAUAGUGAAAAGAGGCCUUGUGGUUUCCUCGUGCAAGAUUUAAACUACUGGCCUUGUGACGUCAUCAGCUAAAAAGCAGCCAGUGCGAAGGGCUACAACACUCCUUAAAGGGCCAACUCUUGCUAGCAAGAGGAAGCAGCUUUCCAUGAACAGGUUUGCUUCAUUCAGGAGGUUGAUGGUUAUUAUUGAAGUUUCCUGUAAUGAGGUUGUUAGUGGAUUGAUUCCCUUGGUCUGCCUUCUCGCUCUGGUUUUCGAUGAUCAGCAAUGGUGAACUCUUAUUUGCAUUUUACCUGACAUACACUCACCAUGACUCAAUUUUGCAUAGUUUUUUCCAAAAGAACUAAAACUCAAUCAGUGUGUUGACAAUACCCUAUAUAUAUAUAUAUAACAUGCUUGUUAAGAAAAGCAACGUUUUGGCUCACUCCCCAAGUGUUUCAAUCUUUUUCCAAAAACUAAUUUCAAUUUAUCAAUUUCCCAAAAUGGCCACUUUCUUUCUAUAACAUGGGAAUCUCAUAUCCAGAAUAGACACUCAUAUUCCCAUCAUUUUAGAUUAGAUUAGAUUCAACUUUAUUGUCAUUGUGCCGAAUACAGAUACAAAACCAUUGAAAUGCAUUUGGCAUCUGACCAGAAAUGCAAAGAAUAGUGUUAUUUACAAAAUAACUGCGAAUAAAAAAGUGCAACAGCACACAAAUAUAAAAGUACUGAGACAGUACAAUAUGGAUGCAAUACUGCUUAGCGCUUUGAUGAGAGGUUCAGCAGUGUCACAGCCUCAGGGAAGAAGCUCUUCCUGUGCCUGCUGGCAUGGGAGCGGAGGCUCCUGUAGCACCUACUGGAUGGGAGGAGAGUAAAAAUUCCAUGUUUAGGGUGAGAUGCAUCCCUGAUAAUGCUUUUCGCCCUGCCCAGGCAGCGUUUAUGGUAGAUGUUCUCAAUGGUGGGAAAUUGGGUGCCGAUAAUCCACUGGGCAGUUUUCGCUUUAUGCUGGAGUGCUUUGUGGUCUGAAACGGGACGAUUGCCAUACCUCACUGAGAUGCAGUUGGUGAGUAUGCUGUCAAUGGUACAGCGGUACAACCUGGAUUCCACAUGGCCAGUGUGGAAUCUGAGUCUCUCUCUUCAAUACCCAUUCCAAAGUGAGAAACAAAUAUUCACAAACUUAAAACACUUAAGACAAAACAAAAAUUGAUACUUGCACUUUGCUUCCUUCCAAAGCUUCACAAAUUGACCUAAAAAAUUGAAACAAGCGUUUAAUACACAGUAAACAAUAUUUCAAAGAACGAAAGAAAAGAAAGAGAUGGAUGGAUGUGUAUUCACACAAAUUUCACAUCAAGUAACACAAUUUUCCUCUGGUUUAAUUCAAAAACCCAACAGAUACAGUUUUAAACAAACAGAUGACAGAUGAUGAUUUUGUACUCACUUAUAU